UACGAAGGGGGCUAGCGUUGCUCGGAAUCACUGGGCGUAAAGGGUGCGUAGGCGGGUUUUUAAGUCAGGGUGAAAUCCUGGAGCUCAACUCCAGAACUGCCUUUGAUACUGAAGAUCUUGAGUUCGGGAGAGGUGAGUGGAACUGCGAGUGUAGAGGUGAAAUUCGUAGAUAUUCGCAAGAACACCAGUGGCGAAGGCGGCUCACUGGCCCGAUACUGACGCUGAGGCACGAAAGCGUGGGGAGCAAACAGGG
rnacentral:rRNA from 1 species